rnacentral:rRNA from 1 species
UGCAAGUCGUACGGAAGUUUUUAACUUUAGUGGCGGACGGGUGAGUAACACGUAAGAAUUUACCUUUAGGAGGGGGACAACAGCUGGAAACGGCUGCCAAUACCCCAUAUGCUUUCGAGUGAAAUGGAAUUUUCCGCCUAGAGAGAAGCUUGCGGCUGAUUAGCUUGUUGGUGGGGUAAUGGCCUACCAAGGCGACGAUCAGUAUCUGGUUUGAGAGGACGAUCAGACACACUGGAACUGAGACACGGUCCAGACUCCUACGGGAGGCAGCAGUGGGGAAUUUUCCGCAAUGGGCGAAAGCCUGACGGAGCAAUACCGCGUGAGGGAUGACGGCCUAUGGGUUGUAAACCUCUUUUUUCAGGGAGGAAUCAAUGACGUGUACCUGAAGAAUAAGCAUCGGCUAACUCCGUGCCAGCAGCCGCGGUAAGACGGAGGAUGCAAGUGUUAUCCGGAAUCACUGGGCGUAAAGCGUCUGUAGGUGGUUUAAUAAGUCAACUGUUAAAUCUUGAGGCUCAACUUCAAAAUCGCAGUCGAAACUAUUAGACUAGAGUAUAGUAGGGGUAAAGGGAAUUUCCAGUGGAGCGGUGAAAUGCGUAGAGAUUGGAAAGAACACCGAUGGCGAAGGCACUUUACUGGGCUAUUACUGACACUCAGAGACGAAAGCUAGGGUAGCAAAUGGGAUUAGAUACCCCAGUAGUCCUAGCCGUAAACAAUGGAUACUAGAUGUUGAACAGAUCGACCUGUGCAGUAUUAAAGCUAACGCGUUAAGUAUCCCGCCUGGGAAGUAUGCACGCAAGUGUGAAACUCAAAGGAAGUGACGGGGGCCCGCACAAGCGGUGGUGCAAGUCGUUGCAAGUCGUGCA